UAAUGGUAGAGUUAAAGGCCAAAUCUGCCAUAUAGUUAAAGGCCAAAUCUGCCGUGAAGCCAGGAGAAAGGAUCCAGCAUACAAACCAUGACAGAAUACACACACAUUUUGGAGAUGCAUGCUUUCUCAAAGCUCUGAGGACCAUCAUGAAGACAUAUUAACUGAAAGAAUACAAAGCGAUGUGAAUAGUUCCUAACUAUUGGAGACUAUACAAGAAGCAUGACACCAAACUGUGGUUGUCUUCUGGUGAAGAUCUCAGAAGUUUCCACUCAUGGCAAAAGGUAGAUAAAGAAGGAGCUAAUGAAGAAAAAGAAACAAGCUGUCAAGCGGUGGGAAGGGAACCAGGAAAACACAGCAUCAUGUCAGACAAUAAAAUAGUGUAAUUUCAA
rnacentral:lncRNA from 1 species